UUAAGCGACUAAGCGUACACGGUGGAUGCCCUGGCAGUCAGAGGCGAUGAAGGACGUGCUAAUCUGCGAAAAGCGUCGGUAAGGUGAUAUGAACCGUUAUAACCGGCGAUGUCCGAAUGGGGAAACCCAGUGCAAUUCGUUGCACUAUCGUUAACUGAAUACAUAGGUUAACGAGGCGAACCGGGGGAACUGAAACAUCUAAGUACCCCGAGGAAAAGAAAUCAACCGAGAUUCCCCCAGUAGCGGCGAGCGAACGGGGAGCAGCCCAGAGUCUGAAUCAGCUUGUGUGUUAGUGGAACGGUCUGGAAAGUCCGACGGUACAGGGUGAUAGUCCCGUACACCAAAAUGCACAGGCUGUGAACUCGAAGAGUAGGGCGGGACACGUGGUAUCCUGUCUGAAUAUGGGGGGACCAUCCUCCAAGGCUAAAUACUCCUGACUGACCGAUAGUGAACCAGUACCGUGAGGGAAAGGCGAAAAGAACCCCGGCGAGGGGAGUGAAAAAGAACCUGAAACCGUGUACGUACAAGCAGUGGGAGCACCUUCGGGUGUGACUGCGUACCUUUUGUAUAAUGGGUCAGCGACUUAUAUUCUGUAGCAAGGUUAACCGUAUAGGGGAGCCGCAGGGAAACCGAGUCUUAACUGGGCGUUAAGUUGCAGGGUAUAGACCCGAAACCCGGUGAUCUAGCCAUGGGCAGGUUGAAGGUUGGGUAACACUAACUGGAGGACCGAACCGACUAAUGUUGAAAAAUUAGCGGAUGACUUGUGGCUGGGGGUGAAAGGCCAAUCAAACCGGGAGAUAGCUGGUUCUCCCCGAAAGCUAUUUAGGUAGCGCCUCGUGAACUCAUCUUCGGGGGUAGAGCACUGUUUCGGCUAGGGGGUCAUCCCGACUUACCAACCCGAUGCAAACUACGAAUACCGAAGAAUGUUAUCACGGGAGACACACGGCGGGUGCUAACGUCCGUCGUGAAGAGGGAAACAACCCAGACCGCCAGCUAAGGUCCCAAAGUCAUGGUUAAGUGGGAAACGAUGUGGGAAGGCACAGACAGCCAGGAUGUUGGCUUAGAAGCAGCCAUCAUUUAAAGAAAGCGUAAUAGCUCACUGGUCGAGUCGGCCUGCGCGGAAGAUGUAACGGGGCUAAACCAUGCACCGAAGCUGCGGCAGCGACACUAUGUGUUGUUGGGUAGGGGAGCGUUCUGUAAGCCUGCGAAGGUGUGCUGUGAGGCAUGCUGGAGGUAUCAGAAGUGCGAAUGCUGACAUAAGUAACGAUAAAGCGGGUGAAAAGCCCGCUCGCCGGAAGACCAAGGGUUCCUGUCCAACGUUAAUCGGGGCAGGGUGAGUCGACCCCUAAGGCGAGGCCGAAAGGCGUAGUCGAUGGGAAACAGGUUAAUAUUCCUGUACUUGGUGUUACUGCGAAGGGGGGACGGAGAAGGCUAUGUUAGCCGGGCGACGGUUGUCCCGGUUUAAGCAUGUAGGCUGGUUAUCCAGGCAAAUCCGGAUAAUCAAGGCUGAGGUGUGAUGACGAGGCACUACGGUGCUGAAGUAACAAAUGCCCUGCUUCCAGGAAAAGCCUCUAAGCAUCAGGUAACAUCAAAUCGUACCCCAAACCGACACAGGUGGUCAGGUAGAGAAUACCAAGGCGCUUGAGAGAACUCGGGUGAAGGAACUAGGCAAAAUGGUGCCGUAACUUCGGGAGAAGGCACGCUGGUGUGUAGGUGAAGUCCCUGCGGAUGGAGCUGAGACCAGUCGAAGAUACCAGCUGGCUGCAACUGUUUAUUAAAAACACAGCACUGUGCAAACACGAAAGUGGACGUAUACGGUGUGACGCCUGCCCGGUGCCGGAAGGUUAAUUGAUGGGGUUAUCCGUAAGGAGAAGCUCUUGAUCGAAGCCCCGGUAAACGGCGGCCGUAACUAUAACGGUCCUAAGGUAGCGAAAUUCCUUGUCGGGUAAGUUCCGACCUGCACGAAUGGCGUAAUGAUGGCCAAGCUGUCUCCACCCGAGACUCAGUGAAAUUGAACUCGCUGUGAAGAUGCAGUGUACCCGCGGCAAGACGGAAAGACCCCGUGAACCUUUACUAUAGCUUGACACUGAACAUUGAGCCUUGAUGUGUAGGAUAGGUGGGAGGCUUUGAAGCGUGGACGCCAGUCUGCGUGGAGCCAACCUUGAAAUACCACCCUUUAAUGUUUGAUGUUCUAACGUUGGCCCCUGACCGGGGUUGCGGACAGUGUCUGGUGGGUAGUUUGACUGGGGCGGUCUCCUCCCAAAGCGUAACGGAGGAGCACGAAGGUUAGCUAAUCCUGGUCGGACAUCAGGAGGUUAGUGCAAUGGCAUAAGCUAGCUUGACUGCGAGCGUGACGGCGCGAGCAGGUGCGAAAGCAGGUCAUAGUGAUCCGGUGGUUCUGAAUGGAAGGGCCAUCGCUCAACGGAUAAAAGGUACUCCGGGGAUAACAGGCUGAUACCGCCCAAGAGUUCAUAUCGACGGCGGUGUUUGGCACCUCGAUGUCGGCUCAUCACAUCCUGGGGCUGAAGUAGGUCCCAAGGGUAUGGCUGUUCGCCAUUUAAAGUGGUACGCGAGCUGGGUUUAGAACGUCGUGAGACAGUUCGGUCCCUAUCUGCCGUGGGCGCUGGAGAAUUGAGGGGGGCUGCUCCUAGUACGAGAGGACCGGAGUGGACGCAUCACUGGUGUUCGGGUUGUCAUGCCAAUGGCACUGCCCGGUAGCUAAAUGCGGAAGAGAUAAGUGCUGAAAGCAUCUAAGCACGAAACUUGCCCCGAGAUGAGUUCUCCCUGAGACUUUAAGUCUCCUGAAGGAACGUUAAAGACGAUGACGUUGAUAGGCCGGGUGUGUAAGCGCAGCGAUGCGUUGAGCUAACCGGUACUAAUGAACCGUGAGGCUUAACCUU
rnacentral:rRNA from 1 species